rnacentral:rRNA from 1 species
UACGUAGGGGGCUAGCGUUGUCCGGAAUCAUUGGGCGUAAAGCGCGUGUAGGCGGUCCGGUAAGUCCGCUGUGAAAGUCGGGGGCUCAACCCUCGAAAGCCGGUGGAAACUGUCGGGCUAGAGUACGGAAGAGGCGAGUGGAAUUCCCGGUGUAGCGGUGAAAUGCGCAGAUAUCGGGAGGAACACCUAUGGCGAAGGCAGCUCGCUGGGACGUUACUGACGCUGAGACGCGAAAGCGUGGGGAGCAAACAGG